ACUUGCAAAGAGUGGCGAACGGGUGAGUAACCCUUUGGAAACCUACCUCUUAGCAGGGGAUAACAUUUGGAAACAGAUGCUAAUACCGUAUAACAAUGACAACCGCAUGGUUGUUAUUUAAAAGAUGGUUCUGCUAUCACUAAGAGGGGGGGCCGCGGUGCAUUAGCUAGUUGGUAAGGUAAUGGCUUACCAAGGCGAUGAUGCAUAGCCGAGUUGAGAGACUGAUCGGCCACAAUGGGACUGAGACACGGCCCAUACUCCUACGGGAGGCAGCAGUAGGGAAUCUUCCACAAUGGGCGAAAGCCUGAUGGAGCAACGCCGCGUGUGUGAUGAAGGGUUUCGGCUCGUAAAACACUGUUGUAAGAGAAGAAUGACAUUGAGAGUAACUGUUCAAUGUGUGACGGUAUCUUACCAGAAAGGAACGGCUAAAUACGUGCCAGCAGCCGCGGUAAUACGUAUGUUCCAAGCGUUAUCCGGAUUUAUUGGGCGUAAAGCGAGCGCAGACGGUUAUUUAAGUCUGAAGUGAAAGCCCUCAGCUCAACUGAGGAAUUGCUUUGGAAACUGGAUGACUUGAGUGCAGUAGAGGAAAGUGGAACUCCAUGUGUAG
rnacentral:rRNA from 1 species